AUUGAACGCUGGCGGCAGGCCUAACACAUGCAAGUCGAGCGGAUGAAGAGAGCUUGCUCUCUGAUUUAGCGGCGGACGGGUGAGUAAUGCCUAGGAAUCUGCCUGGUAGUGGGGGAUAACGUCCGGAAACGGGCGCUAAUACCGCAUACGUCCUACGGGAGAAAGCAGGGGACCUUCGGGCCUUGCGCUAUCAGAUGAGCCUAGGUCGGAUUAGCUAGUUGGUGAGGUAAUGGCUCACCAAGGCUACGAUCCGUAACUGGUCUGAGAGGAUGAUCAGUGAAACUGGAACUGAGACACGGGCCAGACUCCUACGGGGGGCAGCAGUGGGGAAUAUUGGACAAUGGGCGAAAGCCUGAUCAAGCCAUGCCGCGUGUGUGAAGAAGGUCUUCGGAUUGUAAAGCACUUUAAGUUGGGAGGAAGGGCAGUAAGUUAAUACCUUGCUGUUUUGACGUUACCGACAGAAUAAGCACCGGCUAACUUCGUGCCAGCAGCCGCCGUAAAAC
rnacentral:rRNA from 1 species